GCAACGUUGGGCCUGGUUAGUACUUGGAUCGGAGACGGCUUGGGAAUCCCAGGUGUCGUAAGCU
rfam:Haemonchus contortus, ISE/inbred ISE, WGS project CAVP01000000 data, contig: Hcontortus_32549